GGUUACCAGAGGCUGAGGGUUACAUCUUAAUGAUUUCCAAGAAGAUGGAAUAGUAUGAGCAAAAAGGCUCAGAAGUGAGUUGGUCUACCUAGUGCUCUAGGAAAAUUACCAAUCAUCCAAAGGAAGUGAUGAAGUUUCAUUCCAAAUUUAGCAAGUAAAAGAGAAAUGAUAUUAUUGAGGUAAUUUGGAGAGGAAGGAAAACUUCCCAGCUUUCAUCAUUACUUUGGAGACAGGAGUACAAAGGGAAAGAAGAGGAAACAAUAUAUUACAGCUACAGCUAAAAACCCUUACCUGCUUCCUUUUCUUCCUCUCUCUCCCCUCCCAAAGGAAGUCAUUCCCUGG